rnacentral:tRNA from 1 species
CGCUUUUGUCCACUCAGCCAUCUCUCC